rnacentral:rRNA from 1 species
UACGUAGGGUGCAAGCGUUGUCCGGAAUUAUUGGGCGUAAAGAGCUCGUAGGCGGUUUUGUUGCGUCGGCUGUGAAAAUCCCGAGGCUCAACCUCGGGUCUGCAGUCGAUACGAGCAAACUAGAGUGUUUGCAGGGGGAGACUGGAAUUCCUGGUGUAGCGGUGAAAUGCGUAGAUAUCUGGAGGAACACCGGUGGCGAAGGCGACAUCCUGGACCGGUAUUGACGCUGAGGCGCGAAAGCCAGGGGGAGCAAACGGGG